rnacentral:rRNA from 1 species
GUGACGGCGUGCCUUUUGUAGAAUGAGCCAGCGAGUCGCUGGCGCGGGGCGAGGUUAACCGAGAGGGAGCCGUAGCGAAAGCGAGCCUUAACAGGGCGACUUGAGUCCCGCGCCGCGGACGCGAAGCCGGGUGAGCUAUCCGUGGGCAGGCUGAAGCGGGGGUAAGACCCCGUGGAGGGCCGAACGCACGUCGGUUGAAAACGGCGGCGAUGACCUGCGGAUAGGGGUGAAAGGCCAAUCAAACCCGGAGAUAUCUCGUUCUCCCCGAAAUAGCUUUAGGGCUAGCGUCGCGCGUUCACCGCCGGAGGUAGAGCACCGGAUGGACGAGGGGGCUUCGCCGCCUACCGAAUCCAACCGAACUCCGAAUGCCGGCGGCCCAGAGCGCGGCAGUCAGAGCAUGUGGGCUAAGCUGUGUGCUCGAGAGGGAAACAGCCCGGACCGCCCGCUAAGGUCCCCAAGUUCCAGCCGAGUGGCAAAGGAUGUGCGUCCGCCCAGACAACCAGGAUGUUGGCUUAGAAGCAGCCAUGCAUUCAAAGAGUGCGUAACAGCUCACUGGUCGAGUGGACAUGCGCCGACAAUACACGGGGCUAAGCUGGACACCGAAGCGGCGGGAUUUUAUCUAUUAGAAUCGGUAGGGGAGCUUCCCAUGGGCGGUGAAGCCGCCGGGCGACCGGCGGUGGAGCGCAUGGGAGUGAGAAUGCUGGCAUGAGUAGCGAGAGACGAGAGAGUAACUCGUCCGCCGUGAACCCGAGGUUUCCUGGGCAAGGCUAAUCCUCCCAGGGUCAGUCGGGGGCUAAGGCGAGGCCGGUAGGCGUAGCCGACGCGCAGCAGGCAGACAUUCCUGCACCGCGCACGCGGCGCUACGACCGACGGGGCGACGGAUGGGGGUGGCUCGGCGGGGUUCUGGACGUCCCCGUGAUGGAGCGCGGCCCGCGGACCAGGGAAAUCCGGUCCGCACGAGGGCGAGGCUCCGGACGAAGCGAUUGAGCGAAGCGAGUGAGCCCGAGGUCCCCAGAAAAACCCCUAGGCAGGCGCGUGCGCGCCCGUACCGCAAACCGACACAGGUGGGUGGGUAGAACAUACCGAGGCGAUCGGGUCAACCAUGGUCAAGGAACUCGGCACAAUGGCCCCGUAACUUCGGGAGAAGGGGUGCCCGCGCGUACGUGAACGGACUUGCUCCGGGAGCGGAGGCGGGCCGCAGUGGAGAGGCCCAAGCGACUGUUUACCAAAAACACAGGACUCUGCAGAAGCCGCAAGGCGACGUAUAGGGUCUGACGCCUGCCCGGUGCCGGAAGGUCACGCGGAGGGGUUAGCGCACCGCGCGAAGCCCCGAAGCCAAGCCCCGGUAAACGGCGGCCGUAACUAUAACGGUCCUAAGGUAGCGAAAUUCCUUGUCGGGUAAGUUCCGACCUGCACGAAAGGCGCAACGACUUGGGCGCUGUCUCGACCAUGGACCCGGUGAAAUUGCACUGGUCGUGAAGAUGCGACUUACCCGCGGAAGGACGGAAAGACCCCGUGAACCUUCACUGCAGCUUGGCAUUGGCCGCUGGUCCCGCGUGUAGAGGAUAGGCAGGAGGCAUCGAUCCGGAGGCGCCAGCCCCCGGGGAGCCGCCCUUGGAAUACUGCCCCCGCGCGACCGGCGUCCUAACCCGAGGCCGUCGACCGGCUCGGGGACCGUGCCAGGCGGGCAGUUUGACUGGGGCGGUCGCCUCCUAAAGGGUAACGGAGGCGCGCGAAGGUCCGCUCGGGACGGUCGGCAACCGUCCUUUUGAAUGCAAGAGUACAAGCGGGCUUGACUGCGAGGCCCACGAGCCGAGCAGGUGCGAAAGCAGGCUCUAGUGAUCCGGCGGCCCCGAGUGGGUGGGCCGUCGCUCAACGGAUAAAAGGUACUCCGGGGAUAACAGGCUGAUCUUGCCCAAGAGUCCACAUCGACGGCAAGGUUUGGCACCUCGAUGUCGGCUCAUCGCAUCCUGGGGCUGGAGCAGGUCCCAAGGGUACGGCUGUUCGCCGUUUAAAGCGGUACGCGAGCUGGGUUCAGAACGUCGUGAGACAGUUCGGUCCCUAUCCUCCGUGGGCGCAGGAGAAUCGAUGGAGGCUGCCCCCAGUACGAGAGGACCGGGGUGGACGCACCUCCGGUGAACCGGUUGUCGACCAACGGCACGGCCGGGUAGCCGCGUGCGGCGCGGAUAACCGCUGAAGGCAUCUAAGCGGGAAGCCGUUCCAGGGAUUAGUUCU